CUAUAGCACAAAAGAAAUGAAUAAUUAAAAGUCUAGCAGGGGUUUUAGACGUCGUCCAAGUUCUGUUGACAACGGCAAAAAGCAUAUUUUCACGUCUUGUAUAGUACGCUAGCAUUUCACGCCGUGACAGGUAAUUUUUCUGGCAGAGUUGUGUUUUACUCGAUCGAAACUAUUUUAAAUUCAUAAGAAAGUAAAUACAAGACAAGAUUUCCAUACAAUCAUUUAUUUCGAACAAUUUGUUUAGCCGUCGUCCUGACGUCGCCGUCUUACAUUCGUAAACUCCCUACUCACGACGUCCCACAGGAGAAUUUUUGUGGCUAGCCCCCCCCCCCUGGGGCUAGCCACUAUACUAUGAUAUGAGCGAUGGUCGGUCAGCGAUGUCUGUCCGAAUUGUCGUGAAAUUAUCGUGAGCCGAAGUGAGGCCGACAGUAUGGCGAUCGUUUGUUUCGUGGUUUCGGUUAUCAUCGGAAACUUGGCUGGAAGUGAUGAGCCCCGACAGUUUGACGAUCGGUUAUUUCGGUUUUCAUCGGAAAUUGUGAGCCUAAAAAUUGGACCUAUUACCUAAUGAACAAAAUUUUGAUCUAGACAAGUCUACACGCGUAAAAAUUAUGAGCCCGCUGUUUAACAGGGUUGAACAAUGUUUGUGCUUCCCACGUUGUUCACACUUGUCAACAAUAUUGAACAAUAUUGUUGAACCUGAAUCGGGUGUAACAAUAUUUAACAAUUAUUCGCCGAAGGCGAGGUGAUUAUCGGGGAUUAGUAUAAUUACAUAGGUGAUUAUUGAAAAUUCUCCACGCUGAUUGGUUGCCGUUGAGGUGAUUAUUACGCGAUAAUCACCUAAGCGAUUUUCAAAAUGGCGGCCGAAGCCUUUUUGUCAAUUAAAUGACGAAGAAAUGUGUAUUUUUUAUUUUUUUCCAAAUAAUCACCUAUGAAAUUAUACUAAAACA